AAACAGAGGGAUUAGCUGCAGUCCUGCUGACUCUAGGAACGGGGGGAAAGAAGAUAUAACUUCGAGCUGCAUGCAAAGAUCAGCAACCAAUGAAGGCACAAUUCUGGCAAUAAAGGGCAUUUCAAAGAAAAAACAAACAAUGAACCGCCAGAAUUAUUUGACAGCUCCUGGUGGCGAGGAAGACCCCUAAGUUUUCUUGGAAAGAAGUAGACUGUGAGCUGACAUUGGGAGAGUUCUCCUGGUUUCCUUUGUG